rnacentral:rRNA from 1 species
AGAGUUUGAUCAUGGCUCAGAACGAACGCNGNCGGCGCGUUUUAAGCAUGCAAGUCGAACGGUAGUAUGGCUUCGGCCAUAUGAGAGUGGCGAACGGGUGAGUAACACGUAGAUGAUCUGCCCUUGAGUUGGGGAUAGCCCAUGGAAACAUGGAGUAAUACCGAAUACGGUCCGGACACUGUGGUGACCGGAAGAAAAGCGCUUCGGCGCUGCUCGAGGAUGAGUCUGCGGCUGAUUAGCUAGUUGGUGGGGUAAGAGCUCACCAAGGCGACGAUCAGUAGCCGGCCUGAGAGGGUGAACGGCCACACUGGGACUGAGAUACGGCCCAGACUCCUACGGGAGGCAGCAGCUAAGAAUCUUCCGCAAUGGACGAAAGUCUGACGGAGCGACGCCGCGUGGGUGAUGAAGGCCGGAAGGUUGUAAAGCCCUUUUCUGACUGAGGAAUAAGCCCGGGAGGCAAUGCCUGGGUGAUGACGGUAAGUCAGGAAUAAGCCCCGGCCAAUUACGUGCCAGCAGCCGCGGUAAUACGUAUGGGGCGAGCGUUGUUCGGAAUCAUUGGGCGUAAAGGGCGCGUAGGCGGUUAUGCAAGCUUGGUGUGAAAGAUCGCAGCUCAACUGCGGGAACGCGCCGGGAACUGCAUGACUGGAGUUCAAGAGGGGAAGCUGGAAUUCCUGGUGUAGGGGUGAAAUCUGUAGAUAUCAGGAAGAACAUCGGUGGCGAAGGCGAGCUUCUGGCUAUGAAAUGACGCUGAGGCGCGAAAGCGUGGGGAGCAAACAGGAUUAGAUACCCUGGUAGUCCACGCUGUAAACGAUGUGCACUAGGUGUUGGGCCGAUGAAGGCUCAGUGCCGUAGCUAACGCGUUAAGUGCACCGCCUGGGGAGUAUGCUCGCAAGAGUGAAACUCAAAUGAAUUGACGG